UGGGGAAUAUUGGACAAUGGGGGAAACCCUGAUCCAGCGACGCCGCGUGGGUGAAGAAGGCCUGCGGGUUGUAAAGCCCUUUCAGUGGGGAAGAAAGGCUCCGACCUAACACGUCGGGGCUCUGACGUAACCCAUAGAAGAAGCACCGGCUAACUCUGUGCCAGCAGCCGCGGUAAUACAGAGGGUGCGAGCGUUAAUCGGAAUUACUGGGCGUAAAGCGCACGUAGGCGGCUUUGCAAGUCGGGUGUGAAAUCCCCGGGCUCAACCCGGGAACUGCAUUCGAAACUGCACUGCUGGAGUAUGGGAGAGGGAAGCGGAAUUUCCAGUGUAGAGGUGAAAUUCGUAGAUAUUGGGAAGAACACCGGUGGCGAAGGCGGCGACCUGGUCCGAUACUGACGCUGAGGCGCGAAAGCGUGGGGAGCAAACAG
rnacentral:rRNA from 1 species